rnacentral:tRNA from 1 species
GGUAACGUGGCCGAGCGGUCUAAGGUGCAGGGUUAAGGCUCCUAUCUCUUUCGUGGCGUGGGUUUGAAUCCCACCGCUGCCA